GCGGGUAUAGCUCAAGUGGUAGAGUGCAUGCUUAGCAUAUACAAGGUUCUGGGUUCAAUCCCCAGUACCUUCC
rfam:Camelus ferus unplaced genomic scaffold scaffold33176, whole genome shotgun sequence.